AUUGAACGCUGGCGGCAGGCCUAACACAUGCAAGUCGAGCGGAUGAAGGGAGCUUGCUCCUGGAUUCAGCGGCGGACGGGUGAGUAAUGCCUAGGAAUCUGCCUGGCAGUGGGGGAUAACGUCCGGAAACGGGCGCUAAUACUGCAUACGUCCUGCGGGAGAAAGUGGGGGAUCUUCGGACCUCACGCUCUCAGAUGAGCCUAGGUCGGAUUAGCUAGUUGGUGGGGUAAAGGCCUACCAAGGCGACGAUCCGUAACUGGUCUGAGAGGAUGAUCAGUCACACUGGAACUGAGACACGGUCCAGACUCCUACGGGAGGCAGCAGUGGGGAAUAUUGGACAAUGGGCGAAAGCCUGAUCCAGCCAUGCCGCGUGUGUGAAGAAGGUCUUCGGAUUGUAAAGCACUUUAAGUUGGGAGGAAGGGCAGUAAGUUAAUACCUUGCUGUUUUGACGUUACCAACAGAAUAAGCACCGGCUAACUUCGUG
rnacentral:rRNA from 1 species